rnacentral:rRNA from 1 species
AUGCGAGGUGACGACGAGCUCCUCCGGACGUGGGGGGCAGCGAGGCCGGAGAUCCAGUCGGCGCAUGCCCAUCAGGGUCGAAGCUGCAGCGCUCCGGUCCCCAAGCUGCCUCCAGGCUCGCUUCCUCCUCCAUCCUCGGGCACGGAGGCAAGGUUCUCCGGCGGCGGCGGGAACCUCCAGGCAGAGAGCGACCCCUCGUCAAGUAGGGGAUCGAUUUGUCCUGCAGCUUCUUUCCCCUCUAUAAAGGAGAUUUUUUUUCCUUUGCUUGAUGUGUUUCCCUCCUUUCAAUUGUAUGAUUUUUAG